CAGUAGCCACGGUAAUACGUAGGUGGCGAGCGUUGUCCGGAUUUAUUGGGCGUAAAGGGAGUGUAGGCGGUCUUUUAAGUCUGAUGUGAAAGCCCACGGCUCAACCGUGGAGGGUCAUUGGAAACUGGGAGACUUGAGUGCAGAAGAGAAGGGCGGAAUUCCAUGUGUAGCGGUGAAAUGCGUAGAUAUAUGGAGGAACACCAGUGGCGAAGGCGGCUCUCUGGUCUGUAACUGACGCUGAGGCUCGAAAGCGUGGGGAGCAAACAGGAUUAGAUACCCCGGUAGUCCCUGUCUCUUAUAC
rnacentral:rRNA from 1 species